UAUAAAUUCUCCUCUGCUUUGUAGUUCGUAUGAAUGAACAAUAAAUCUCAUCUUCCGUCAAAAUAUCUCAUACCCUCCCCCCAUCAUUCUCCACUUUUUCCUCAUCUUGGGAUGUGCAGACCCAUGACUCAAUAUUAACAACCUUCAUUAAACCAACAGAUACAGGAUUCCUUCCUUCCUGUUAAAUUUGAAUAGGGUUAUUUUCACCUCAUAAUCCCACGAUCUAUCUAUUUGUUUCAUCAAUUCAUCAUCCUAUUCCCACGGCUUUUAUUCAUCAAUUCGAUGGGGUUCGAGAAACAAAAUGAAGCUGGGUCAUCCACCAAUUCGCUCCGCUCCUUCCCCAGAGAAGACACACCCUUAUUGUCCUCCCACGCCAAUCCCCAUUCCCUUUCUUCUCAACCCAAAACCUUCGCCAAUGUCUUCAUUGCCAUCGUCGGCGCCGGCGUCCUUGGCCUCCCCUACACAUUCAUGCGUACUGGCUGGCUAACCAGCCUCAUCAUGAUUUUCUUUGUCGCUGCUCUCACCUACCGCGGCAUGAUGCUUCUAAUUGCUGCCCGCAGGAAGCUUGAGGGUUCCCCCCACUGUGCCUUCUCAAAGAUCUCAUCUUUCGGUGAUUUGGGCUUCGCUGUUUGUGGCUCUGUUGGCAGAUUUGCAGUUGAUUCAAUGAUUGUUCUCUCCCAGGCUGGCUUCUGCGUCGGUUAUCUCAUUUUUAUUGGUAACACUCUCUCCAAUCUUUUUAGCUCCCCCCUGACCUUGUCUGCUGCCAGCCCCAAAAUUUGGGGGGUUUCUGCCAAGAGUCUUUACAUUUGGAGUUGUUUCCCCUUUCAGUUGGGCUUGAAUUCGAUUCCAUCGCUAACCCUUUUAGCUCCUCUGAGCAUAUUCGCGGAUAUUGUGGAUUUAGGUGCAAUGGGGGUGGUGAUGGUUCAGGAUGCCCUCGUAUUUGCCAAGCAAAUGCCGUUGGUUGAGGCUUUUGGCACUCUGUCUACCUUUUUUUACGGAUUGGGUGUGGCGGUGUACUCCUUUGAGGGGGUUGGGAUGGCUCUGCCGUUGGAAUCCGAGAUGAAAGACAGGUCCAAGUUUGGGAAAAUUCUAGGCUUGACCAUGAUUUUUAUUGCUGCCAUGUAUGGGGGAUUUGGGGCAUUGGGGUACUUUGCAUUCGGUGACAACACGAAGGACAUCAUCACGGCCAACAUGGGAAAAGGAUUGUUGAGUAGCUUGGUUCAGGUGGGCCUCUGUAUAAAUCUGUUCUUUACGUUUCCGUUGAUGAUGAACCCAGUUUACGAAGUGUUUGAGAGGAGGUUUUGGGAUGGGAAGUACUGCUUGUGGAUGAGGUGGAUGCUUGUGCUGGCAGUGAGUUUGGUGGCGUUGUUUGUCCCGAAUUUUGCUGAUUUCUUGUCGUUGGUGGGAAGCAGUACCUGCUGUGUACUGGGCUUCGUUUUGCCUGCACUCUUUCACUAUCUAGCCUUCAAGGAUGAGAUGAACUGGAGACGAGCUAGUGCAGAUGUGGGCAUCAUUGCCUUGGGUGUUUUUCUAGGAGUUACUGGAACUUGGUACGCCCUCCUAGAGAUUUUCUCUGUGAAGGAGCAGUAGUAUGUUUGUCAUCUGAAGGUGUCAUCGUAAACAAGUGACCGGGAAAGUUUAUCUAGAACUUCCAUGUCAAGGGUUGCUGGAGCCUGGAUUCAUAUCCUUGGCUUAAACAAAAUGAUAGUCCUGAUCCUUAUCAUGGAAUCAAUUGGGAGUAGAAUAACAUUGAACAACCACAUGAAGCCUUUCGACACCACCGUUCUCCUCAAACAUCAACUACCAGUUGUUUAGUGUGAGGUUGGCUCUCCACAUCAACAAGCGCGUUAAGAUUAGCCUUAGCCUAGCAGUGUGAGGGCGGGAAGUUGGCUUAUUGGCACUUGUGGUUUUGUGUUGAUCUUUCAAGUCCCGAUAAAGUUUUAUGUUGUGUGCAGUGAAGCCCGAUCCAAUCCAAUCCUCUAGUUGAGCUACAGAUUAGAUUGAGCAGUUUGAAUAUGGUGGCGUGUUGAUUGAGCAUCCUUUAGCAUGUCCAACUGAAUCGUGUGUUUGUUAACAGUAUUUCACUUAUGAUUUAC